AACGAACGCUGGCGGCAUGCCUAACACAUGCAAGUCGAACGAGACCUUCGGGUCUAGUGGCGCACGGGUGCGUAACGCGUGGGAACCUGCCCUUAGGUUCGGAAUAACUCCCCGAAAGGGGUGCUAAUACCGGAUAAUGUCUUCGGACCAAAGAUUUAUCGCCUUUGGAUGGGCCCGCGUUGGAUUAGCUAGUUGGUAGGGUAAAAGCCUACCAAGGCGACGAUCCAUAGCUGGUCGGAGAGGAUGAUCAGCCACACUGGGACCGAGACACGGCCCAGACUCCGACGGGAGGCAGCAGUGGGGAAUAUUGGACAAUGGGCGAAAGCCUGAUCCAGCAAUGCCGCGUGAGUGAUGAAGGCCUUAGGGUUGUAAAGCUCUUUUACCCGGGAUGAUAAUGACAGUACCGGGAGAAUAAGCUCCGGCUAACUCCGUG
rnacentral:rRNA from 1 species